rnacentral:rRNA from 1 species
GACGUAGGGCGCGAGCGUUGUCCGGAUUUAUUGGGCGUAAAGAGCUCGUAGGCGGCUUGUCGCGUCGUCCGUGAAAACUUGGGGCUCAACCCCAAGCUUGCGGUCGAUACGGGCAGGCUCGAGUUCGGUAGGGGAGACUGGAAUUCCUGGUGUAGCGGUGAAAUGCGUAGAUAUCUGGAGGAACACCGGUGGCGAAGGCGGCAUCCUGGACCGAGAUUGACGCUGAUGCGCGAAAGCCAGGGGAGCAAACGGG